AUAUGAAGAACUUGUUCAGAUUUGAUUUCAACAUUGCAAUGAGUGGCGAACGGGUGAGUAACACGUGGGAAACCUACUCUUAGCAGGGAUAACAUUUGGAAACAAAUGCUAAUACCGUAUAAUAAUUAAAACCGCAUGGUUUUAGUUUAAAGAUGGUCUUGCUAUCACUAAGAGAUGGUCCCGCGGUGUAUUAGUUAGUUGGUGAGGUAAAUGGCUCACCAAGACAAUGAUACAUAGCCGAGUUGAGAGACUGACCGGCCACAAUGGGACUGAGACACGGCCCAUACUCCUACGGGAGGCAGCAGUAGGGAAUCUUCCACAAUGGACGAAAGUCUGAUGGAGCAACGCCGCGUGUGUGAUGAAGGGUUUCGGCUCGUAAAACACUGUUGUAAGAGAAGAAUGACAUUGAGAGUAACUGUUCAAUGUGUGACGGUAUCUUACCAGAAAGGAACGGCUAAAUACGUG
rnacentral:rRNA from 1 species